AGUCUUUUGUGUUCUUUCCUUUCUCUUCCUUUCUUUCUUUUUUAUUCUUCUAAUUCUUAAAUCUUAACAUGGUACCAGAGCAUUGGAUCCAUUAUGGUUUCAGUAUUGUUCAUCAGGGGAACUAUUCAUUGACACUGUUUAUGGGUAUUGUCCACGACAUUGUUUAUGACUACUAUUCAUGACAUUGUUCACAGGUACUGUUCAUAGAAACAAUUUGGAGAAGAUUUUGGUUGGUGCUCCUUAAAAGAUGUUUUUGGUCAUGCUUCCAACUGCCCAUAGUCACACCAGGGCUGCUUUAAUUUGUUCAGUUUCUUAAGUGUGGUUUGAUAAAGUUCUGAGGUUUUGUUUCUAAUUCUUCAAUGGUGUUUGGUCUCUU
rnacentral:misc_RNA from 1 species